rnacentral:tRNA from 1 species
GCCGUCAUGGCGGAACUGGCAGACGCGCCGGUCUUGAAAACCGGUAUCUUCGCAGGUGUGCGGGUUCGAAUCCCGCUGACGGCA